rnacentral:tRNA from 1 species
GUGAAUGUGGCUCAGUAGCAGAGCACUUGCCUAGUAUGUAAGAGGUGCUGGGUUCAGACCAUGCACA